GGUUUGAUUCUGGCUCAGAUUGAACGCUGGCAGGAUGCUUUACACAUGCAAGUCGAACGGCAGCACGGACUUCGGUCUGGUGGCGAGUGAACAGGUGAGUAAUGUGUCGGAACGUGCUGUGCUUGGGGAUAACUACGCAGCGUAGCUAAUACCCGCAUACGCCCUUCGAGGGAAAGCGGGGGACCUUCGGGCCUCGCACUAUUAGAGCAGCCAUUAUCGGAUUAGCUAGUUGGUGGGGUAACGGCUCACCAAGGCAUUGAUCCGUAGCUGGUUGAGAGGACGACCAGCCAUGGGACUGAGACGGCCCAGACUCCUACGGCGGGAGGCAGCAGUGGGGAAUUUUGGACAAUGGGGAAACCUGAUCCAGCCAUCCCGCGUGUGCGAUGAAGGCUGCUUCAGGUUGUCAGCACUUUUGGCAGGAAAAACUGGCACGGGAUAAUACCGCAUGCAACUAAUAAUACCUGCAGAAUAAGCACCGGCUAACUACGUGCCAGCAGCCGCGGUAAUACGUAGGGUGCAAGCGUUAAUCUUGGGCGUAAAGCGAGUAGCAGGCGGUUCGGAAAGAAGAUGUGAUCCGGGAAGCUUAACUUUGGAACUGCAUUUUUAACUACCGAGCUAGAGUGUGUCCCAGAAAGGAGGUGGAAUUCCGCGUGUAGCAGUGAAAUGCGUAGAUAUGCGGAAGAGACACCGAUGGCGAAACAGCCUGUCCUGGAUAACACUGACAUCAUGCACGAAAGCGAUAGAACAAACAGGAUUAGAUACCCCGGUAGUCCACGCCCUGUAGCGAUGUCAACUAGCUGUUGGGGCCUUCGGGCCUUGGUAGCGCAGCUAACGCGUGAAGUUGACCGCCUGGGGAAGUACGAUUACUUAAGAUUAAAACUCAAAGGAAUUGACGGGGACACACAAGCGGUGGAUGAUGUGGAUUAAUUCGAUGCAACGCGAAAAACCUUACCUACCCUUGGCAUGUCUGGAAUCCCGAAGAGAUUUGGAGUCGCGCCAUUAGAGAACCGGAACACAGGUGCUGCAUGGCUACAUCGUCAGCUCGUGUCUCGUGAGAUGUUGAGUUAAGUCCACUACAGCGAGCGCAACCCUUUGUCAUUAGGUUGCUACGAAAGGGCACUCUAAUGAGACUGCCGGUGACAAACCGGAGGAAGGUGGGGGAUGACGUCGUCCUCGCAGCCCUUAUGGUGGGGCUUCACACGUCAUACAAUGGUCAAGGACGGUCGCCCAACCGCGAGGGAGCAAUCCCGAAGCCCCGAUCGUAGUCGGAUCGCGGUCGCAGCUCGACUGCGUGAAGUCCGGAAUCGCUGCGAAGUAAUCGCGGAUCAGCAUGUCGCGGUGAAUACGUUCGAAGGUCUUGUACCACCGCCCGUCACACCAUGGAAUUAGGUUUACCAGAAGUAGUUAGCCUAACCGUAAGGAGGGCGGUACUGCGACCAGGAUUCGUGACUGGGGUGAAGUCGUAACAAGGUAG
rnacentral:rRNA from 1 species